rnacentral:sRNA from 1 species
UUGACAGCUCUGGAAAGCAAAGUCUUGGUUUAUUCACAGAGCAGGUACAGCAUGGGAAGCCACAAUCAAGCAUCUCCACAUUCCCCAGCCAACAUGCCUUAACUCUGACCUGGAGGGACAGCCUGCUUUGGGAUGAAAAAGUAAUCCAGGGUAGGUCUAUACUUACCUCCG